AACGCACAUUGCGCCCGCUAGUAUUCUGGCGGGCAUGCCUGUUCGAGCGUCAUUUCAACCAUCAAGCCCUAGGCUUGUGUUGGGGCCCUGCGGCCGUCCGCAGCCCCCGAAAUGCAGUGGCGGUCUCGCUGUCGAACCGAGCGCAGUAGGUAACUCCUCGCUCAGGACGCGACGGCGGGUGCCGGCCGUGAAACCCCCCCCCCACUAUAAGGUUGACCUCGGAUCAGGUAGGAAUACCCGCUGAACUUAA
rnacentral:misc_RNA from 1 species